rnacentral:lncRNA from 1 species
GGGUUUAAAGAAAAUAUCACUUGAACAAUAAGUGAAGAUAGGGAUACUUGCCUCAGUUCUGCUGAUUUUCACACCGAUUAAUUUCUACCGGACUAUCUCACAGCACAGCUUCGUCUUAAGGAACUAUUCCUGAUUCAAUUCACAAAGCUAUUCAACUACUUCUGAAUGUCCUUGAUAUAAAGUCUCGGUUGAUUCUCCAAGAGUAACACGGUGCUUCAUUGUCGAUGCCGGCGGAUUUCGGUUGAUUCUCCAAGAGUGACACGGUACUUCAGUUGUCGAUGCCGACGGAGUUAACUAAUAUCGAAUAACGUAUCAAAUCCGUAAUUAGCUACCCUUCGUAAAUCCAUAUACAUAGUACAAUUAGAUAAACACAUAGCACAUAGUUGAACAAUUAACUUUUAUAGCUAUUAAAAGUCAAUAUUGAUAAAUUAACAAAUAACAUGUUUCAAUCAACCAUGUUACCUUAUUCUUAACUAUUUAAUAUCCUUCAACAAGUAAAACAUAUAUAUAUCCUAUCGAAAAUUCGGCAGCAUCUCCUCUAUUUACCGGACUAUCCACCUGUUUUAAUUUAAUACCAACAACCAAUUAAACAAGUUCCUAACCCAAUAACUCAACAUCUGCUAACUAAUAAUAAACUGAACUCAAUUACAACUUAAUAAUUCGUAUAUCACUUUAUACUAUAAGGAAUGAAGUUUCCAAUCAUAUAUACAGAUAUACUUCAAGAUACUCAAAGUAUAUUUAUAUAUAUAACUAGGAACUUAAAUUCCUUAAUCCUCGUAUAAUCAAUACUCAAAGUAACUUUCCAGAAAACUUAUCCAUAAAAUAUUCGGGAUUCUUAAUUUACUAUAUUUCAAGCAUUACAUAAAGACACCAAAUAAUUUAUUAAAACAAUCAGAAUACUAAAUCUUUUGAAUUUAUACACAUAUAAAUCAAGUAAUUUAACAACUGUUGACCAACAACCACUCGUAUACAUUUAUACUAUAAUUAAUCACAACUCAACUCAUAGAUUUGAACUUGUGAAAGUAAUUCUCUUUGUGACCUCAAAACAGAAUUUUCACAAAUCUGUGCUACUGAUAAUCAAACAUUUUUAAUAAAUCGGAAAUACAUGAUUUUUACUUGAAAUUUUUAUGAGACCUCCCUAAACAUUAAUCCAAUCUACUAUAAAAAUUUCAGAACCAAAUUCCAUGUUUAAGGGACUAAAACAGAGCCUGCAAGUUAAGAACCUGAAUCUGUCCUGCAGAACCAGCCCCACGCUAAGAAUUUUAAUAAAUAGAAAAAUUGGUCUGUUUGUAUAAAAUUUUAAUAACAUAUUCCAGAUACUAACAUCCAACUCCAAUAAAAAUUUCAGAGGCAAAGCUCGAUUCUAAGGUAGCAAAACAGGGCGUGGAAUAGGACACACCUGCCCAGAAUUUUCUGCUCAAUUCACACUAAAACAUACAUAUCUUUUAGCUCAUUUAUUAAAUUAAUCUAAUUCUUUCGCGAGUAGAAAAUAGACUUCAAGGAGCACAUAACCAUACAAAGAUUAAGCAUAUAACUCGACCCUAUGAGCCCAGAAUUUGUAUCGCAAUAACAGACCUGCAGUAGUCUAGAAAUUCAACUUUGAUCACAUAUAGUUUUAAAACUUUAAUCCACUAUUUAAACUCUUAAAUUAUCCUUCCAAAAACAUGUAAACAAUCAUCAUACUUGUACAUAUGUUCUUACAUCAACAAGUUUGAUACCCGGUCAUAUACUCUUGUUAAUUCAAGUACCCCACAAUGUCCAAAGUUAAGACUCCAAUUAAACUCCCUAAUUCAUAUAAGCAUAUAUACACAAACAUAUAAACAAUUAUACACUCCGAGUCAUGCCAACACUACCCAAUUUACAUAACCCAGCACAACAUAAGGGAGUUAUGCUUAUAUACAUACACAUACAUACGUAAUUGAAAGAGGUAGUGGUCUGAUUUGUACCUAAAUUCGAACGAAUAUGGAACACGAUGAACUUCUAAUUAGGAAGUGAAAGCGAUUAUGAGAGAGCCCCAGGGGAAGGAGCACGGCUUCGAGUAGAAGGAGAAACGGAGGAGAGCGGCGCUGCUGCUGAGAGAAGAGAGACGUAGGAUAAGUGAUUAUAUGGAUGAAGAGAUUGAGAGGGUGUGUAAGGAUGUAGCGGUGGAGAGGGAAGAAGUGAGGGGGGAAGAGGCGGUGAGGUCGAGAGAUUAACAGAGGGAAGGUUUUGAAAUUGGGGAAAAGGAGGUGACUGCAGGAGGUGUAUUACG